CUAGUGUUUAGCCUUAGCGCUAAUAGCCCGGUGUACUGAGCCUUGGGAAAUUAGCUGUGCACUGAAGCAUGCUGCAAGAAGCUCGGAAGAACCACUGUCAGAGGAAGAGCAGUCACACCUUGCACGCAAACAGCUGACAACUGUGCUGAACAAAUGGCCAAAAGUCUGCUGAGUUUUCCCAGUCUGGUGUUGGUGAGCAAUCCACUCCCAAAGCGGCCGACCCAGGCCUGGUUGGGCUCAGUCACCCGAAGAAACCCUCCGAGACUGCCUCCACUCAGCCAGAAAGCACCAGGGAGGCGACUGGGGCAUAGACACAUCAGUGGGACUGCAGCUCCCAUAAGCCACUGGGGUCAGAGCGAUCACAGCCGCAGACAGUAGUUGGGGGAGUGUUCACAGUUUGUGGAUGGAGCUGAUGGAAAUUAAAUAUGAUGUGGCAGAGGGGA